AACGAACGCUGGCGGCGUGCUUAACACAUGCAAGUCGAACGAUGAAGCCCAGCUUGCUGGGUGGAUUAGUGGCGAACGGGUGAGUAACACGUGAGUAACCCGCCCUGGACUCUGGGAUAACCCCGAGAAAUCGGAGCUAAUACCGGAUAGGACCUUUCCCCGCAUGGGGUUUGGUGGAAAGUUUUUCGGUUUGGGAUGGACUCGCGGCCUAUCAGCUUGUUGGUGAGGUAAUGGCUCACCAAGGCGUCGACGGGUAGCCGGCCUGAGAGGGUGACCGGCCACACUGGGACUGAGACACGGCCCAGACUCCUACGGGAGGCAGCAGUGGGGAAUAUUGCACAAUGGGCGCAAGCCUGAUGCAGCAACGCCGCGUGCGGGAUGACGGCCUUCGGGUUGUAAACCGCUUUUAGUAAGGAAGAAGGGGCUUCGGCCUUGACGGUACUUGCAGAAAAAGGACCGGCUAACUACGUGCCAGCAGCCGCCGUAAUAC
rnacentral:rRNA from 1 species